CCUGGUGGUUCUAGCGAAGAGCCUCAACCCGAUCCCAUCCCGAACUCGGCCGUUAAACUCUUCAGCGCCAAUGGUACUAUGGCUUAAGCCCUGGGAGAGUAGGUCGCUGCCAGGCCUGCCAAGGACAAGAAAUC
rnacentral:rRNA from 1 species